rnacentral:rRNA from 1 species
CCUACGGGUGGCAGCAGUGGGGAAUAUUGCACAAUGGGGGAAACCCUGAUGCAGCGACGCCGCGUGAGUGAAGAAGCGUUUCGGCGCGUAAAGUUCUGUCAGCGGGGAAGAAACACGGUUCGCGAGAGCCGCGGACGGUACCCGACCAAGAAGCCCCGGCUAACUACGUGCCAGCAGCCGCGGUAAUACGUAGGGGGCAAGCGUUAUCCGGAUGUACUGGGGGUAAAGGGAGCGUAGGCGGUUACGCAAGUCUGGAGUGAAAGGCGGGGGCCCAACCCCCGGACUGCUUUGGAAACUGUAUAACUAGAGUGCAGGGGAGGUAAGUGGAAUGUCUGGUGUAGCGGUGAAAUGCGUAGAUAUUAGGAGGAACACCAGUGGCGAAGGCGGCUUACUGGACUGUAACUGACGUUGAGGCUCGAAAGCGUGGGGAGCAAACAGGAUUAGAUACCCCUGUAGUC